rnacentral:rRNA from 1 species
AACGAACGCUGGCGGCAGGCCUAACACAUGCAAGUCGAGCGAGGACUUCGGUUCUAGCGGCGGACGGGUGAGUAACGCGUGGGAAUGUGCCCUUCUCUACGGAAUAGCCCUGGGAAACUGGGAGUAAUACCGUAUACGCCCUAUUGGGGAAAGAUUUAUCGGAGAAGGAUCAGCCCGCGUUGGAUUAGGUAGUUGGUGGGGUAAUGGCCUACCAAGCCGACGAUCCAUAGCUGGUUUGAGAGGAUGAUCAGCCACACUGGGACUGAGACACGGCCCAGACUCCUACGGGAGGCAGCAGUGGGGAAUCUUAGACAAAGGGGGCAACCCUGAUCUAGCCAUGCCGCGUGAGUGAUGAAGGCCUUAGGGUUGUAAAGCUCUUUCAGCUGGGAAGAUAAUGACGGUACCAGCAGAAGAAGCCCCGGCUAACUCCGUG